ensembl:snRNA U6 U6 spliceosomal RNA
GGUCUCCUGCAGCAUGUGAGCCCACGUGCUCAAUGUGGAACAAUAUAGAGGAUAUUAGCAUGACACCUGCAUAAGUAAAUUUGUGAAGCAUUCCACAUAUUU